ensembl:lncRNA
GAGGGAGAGAGGGAGUGAGAUUGGGGAAAACAGAGGGAGAGAGGAGAGGAGAUUAGGGGAAAACAGAGUGAGAGAGGGAGUGAUAUUAUGGGAAAACAGACGGAGAGAGGGAGUGAGAUUAGGGGAAAACAGAGGGAGAGAGGGAGUGAGAUUAGGGAAAAACAGAGGGAGAGUGGGAGUGAGAUUAGGGGUAAACAGAGGGAGAGAGGGAGUGAGAUAAAGGGAAAACAGAGGGAGAGAGGGAGUGAGAUUAGGGGAAAACAGAGGGAGAGAGGGAGUGAGAUUAAGGGAAAACAGAGGGAGAGAGGGGGUGAGAUUAGGGGAAAACAGAGGAGAGAGGGAGUGAGAUUAG